CCAAUUUUUUUAGCGAGCCUUGGCUUUGUCCAUGGUCUUGCAAAACUCUGUAUUUAAAACCCGCUCAUAUAAAUUAAAACAUAAUUUUGUUAUUAUUAUAAUAAUAAAGA
rnacentral:misc_RNA from 1 species